rnacentral:ncRNA from 1 species
UAAAAAACAUUGAACCCAGUACACUUUAUUUUUUUACAAGAGAGCUGAUGUCUGGUGCAAAUCAGCAAAAAAUAAUUUGGAAGUUCCAGUUCAUUUAUGAUGUGCCUUUCGAGAUAAGAAAGGACGGAAAGCAGCCGUUAUCUGCUAUCAAGUGCAGUAUUUAUACUGAACUUGGGUGGUACCGCGAAACUAAAACCAGUUCGUCCCAAGA